rnacentral:rRNA from 1 species
GACGAACGCUGGCGGCGUGCUUAACACAUGCAAGUCGAACGGUGAAGCGCCUUCCUUUUUGGUGGGUGUGGAUGAGUGGCGAACGGGUGAGUAACACGUGAGUAACCUGCCCCCUUCUUCUGGAUAACCGCAUGAAAGUGUGGCUAAUACGGGAUAUUCUGGGUCUGUCGCAUGAUGGGUCUGGGAAAGAUAUUGUUUCGGUGGGGGAUGGGCUCGCGGCCUAUCAGCUUGUUGGUGGGGUGAUGGCCUACCAAGGCGGUGACGGGUAGCCGGCCUGAGAGGGUGGGCGGUCACACUGGGACUGAGACACGGCCAAGACUCCUACGGGAGGCAGCAGUGGGGAAUAGUGCACAAUGGGCGCAAGCCUGAUGCAGCGACGCCGCGUGAGGGAUGGAGGCCUUCGGGUUGUGAACCUCUUUCGCCAGUGAAGCAGGCCUGCCUCGUUUGUGGGUGGGUUGACGGUAGCUGGAUAAGAAGCGCCGGCUAACUACGUG